GUGACCUACGGGGGGCAGCAGUGGGGGAUAUUGCACAAUGGGGGAAACCCUGAUGCAGCGACGCCGCGUGUGGGAAGACGGUCCUCUGGAUUGUAAACCACUGUCCCCAGGGACGAAGAUGACGGUACCUGGGGAGGAAGCUCCGGCUAACUACGUGCCAGCAGCCGCGGUAAUACGUAGGUGGCAAGCGUUAUCCGGAAUUACUGGGUGUAAAGGGUGUGUAGGCGGGGCUGCAAGUCAGAUGUGAAAAUUAUGGGCUCAACCCAUAACCUGCGUCUGAAACUGUAGCUCUUGAGAGUGGGAGG
rnacentral:rRNA from 1 species